AAAAUAUUGAUGAGUAUCAGGUUUUUUAACUGCUCAGAGGAAGGGGGGUGGAAUGCACAAUCUUAAGAAAAUGACAUUAAUCAGAAGAACUGUCCUUUAUUCUAACACUCACUGUUCAUAAUGGAGCAGGAGAGCAGCACAGCAAUGGAAAACUCGCCUUUACCUUCCUGAUCAUCAUCUCAUCCUUGCUGUUUGUGUACAGCUCCACUGUGUUCACCUUCUUUGUGGUCUACAAGAAAAUAAAUAGUGGACGAAAAGUUUUUCAAGCAAUAGCCCAAGAACUUCAAAAGCAGGGGUUUGCUGAGCACUGCCAACAGCCUGAUGACUUGGAAGCUGACACUGUUUACCAGAACAGAUGAGCACGUGCAGCAGUUCAGAUUUGUUCGGUGUUUGUCGUGCAAGCAAAGGGGCAGGUGAAGAAGUGAAGCUUCUUCACAGACCUCCUUUGCUGUAAAGGAAGGUGAAGAACACUGCCCUGCAAGGUUUUCUUGAGAGAAUCUUCUAAACAGAUCACCAAACCCAAGGGCAUUGUGCAUUACACCUGUGUUACAUAUUCCAUUGUCCAUUCUGCAGGAGUGAAAACCGUGGGGAAAAAAGAGUUCAUCUCUCAUAAGACAACUGCUGAUGCUUCAGAAAAGUCUCCUUUUUCAGUUUAGAUUUAAUUCUGUGUCUUUGUUUUCUUUUUACAUAAACUUAUAUGUAUUCCUUUUACAUGAAUCGAGCACUUGUGAAAGAUGUAUGAUAAUUGACAGCAACA
rnacentral:lncRNA from 1 species